rnacentral:lncRNA from 1 species
CAUGCAACAGAGAAAUGGCUACAAAGAGAUGAGAAAUUAGCUAUGGUUGUGUCCUAUAUGGCACACAAGUAGAAUUUUAUCAAUCAUUUGGUGAGCAAAUGCCCCCAUUGCUUGAAGUCUUUGGAACCUUAUCAAAGAGCAAUUGAAUUUGAGAGGUCAAUCUACAUAACUUUUGGACUAAUUGAAGGGGUAAAAAACUCUAAUGUUUACUGAGAAAGGCGGGG